CAGCAGCAGCCGCGGGAAUACGGAGGAUCCGAGCGUUAUCCGGAAUUAUUGGGUUUAAAGGGUGCGUAGGCGGAUAGAUAAGUCAGUGGUGAAAGACGGUGGCUCAACCAUCGCAGUGCCGUUGAUACUGUUUAUCUUGAAUAUGGAUGAGGUAGGCGGAAUGUGGCAAGUAGCGGUGAAAUGCAUAGAUAUGCCACAGAACACCGAUUGCGAAGGCAGCUUACCAAGGCAAAAUUGACGCUGAGGCACGAAAGCGUGGGGAUCGAACAGGAUUAGAUACCCCCGUAGUCCCUGUCUCUUAUAA
rnacentral:rRNA from 1 species